UACGAGGGGGGCAAAUGUUGUUCGGAAUCACUGGGCGUAAAGGGCGCGUAGGCGGGUGUUUAAGUUAGGUGUUUAAUCCCAGGGCCCAACCCUGGUCGUGCACUUAAAACUGGACAUCUUGAAUAGGGGAGAGGUCAGUGGAAUUGGAGGUGUAGCGGUGGAAUGCGUAGAGAUCUCCAAGAACACCAGUUGCGAAGGCGGCUGACUGGACCCAUAUUGACGCUGAGGCUCGAAAGCAUGGGGAGCAAACAGG
rnacentral:rRNA from 1 species